CCCAAGGCUGUGUGUCCAAAGGCAACUGUACUGAAUACCGGAAAGCAUGUAUUUGUUUGCUAAAUUGCUCUCUUUCCACCAGUGAUAUCAAUUCUGAAAUACUUUUGAGAAUAUGCUGGUGAAAGAGGACAGUGUCAACACAAGGUACCAGCAGGAGAAAAGAACAUCAGCGCUCCCGGUAAUUCCAUACUGGGCUGUACUUGGAGCUGGAUCUUGACAAUAAUCAAAAGGUAGCCAGGUGCAUCGGGGAAAGCACUGACAUUGGAGUCAGACAGACUGAAGUUCAUAUCUGAUUCUGCUAUAUGACAACGUGU
rnacentral:lncRNA from 10 species